CUUGUCUCUUAGAUUUUCUGCACUGGCAGGAGAGUUCUUUACCACUGACACCACCUGGGAAGCCCACAGAUGUCACAUGUAUGAUAUGCAUGCAUGAGGAGGCCUGGUGUCAAAAGUGGCUGUUCCAGCUUUGUGCCUGGAGUGAACUUCCUAGGCUUUGAGCCCCAGAUCAUUUGUUUUCCCUGUUUUCAGUAAAGGUGUCACUGUGAGCUGAAGGUUGUGUGGGGCCCGUGCGUCCCCUGCCCGUUGGGAGUGCUGGGAGAAUGCGGCAUCUGAACCAGCCUUAACCCAAGUGCCCUUGCAGUGCUGUCCGUGGCUGUAGCCAAGAGGAGUUUCCAGUGUCUGGAAACAGUUGCUUUGAAGCUAACACCACAAGUUAAAGGCCUUUAGCUCCA